UACGGAGGAUGCAAGCGUUAUCCGGAAUGAUUGGGCGUAAAGCGUUCGCAGGUGGCUGUGUAAGUCUGCUGUCAAAGAGCAAAGCUCAACUUUGUAAAGGCAGUGGAAACUACACGGCUAGAGUGCGUUCGGGGCAGAGGGAAUUCCUGGUGUAGCGGUGAAAUGCGUAGAGAUCAGGAAGAACACCGGUGGCGAAGGCGCUCUGCUAGGCCGCAACUGACACUGAGGGACGAAAGCUAGGGGAGCGAAUGGG
rnacentral:rRNA from 1 species